ACGACGCUGGCGGCGUGCUUAAUACAUGCAAGUCAACUCGACUUUAGAUAGCAAUAUCGAAAGUAGGGUGGCGCACGGGUGCGUAACGCGUAGGUAAUCUGCCCUGAGGUCUGACAUAACCCGUCGAAAGGCGGGCUAACAUCAGAUGAUAUAUAAUCACGACAUCGUGGAAAUAUCAAAUCUUCGGAGCCUUGGGAUGAGCCUGCGUCUGAUUAGGUAGUUGGCGGAGUAAUAGCCCACCAAGCCUACGAUCAGUAGCUGGUCUGAGAGGAUGAUCAGCCACACUGGAACUGAGACACGGUCCAGACUCCUACGGGAGGCAGCAGUAAGGAAUAUUGCUCAAUGGGGGAAACCCUGAAGCAGCAACGCCGCGUGAAGGAUGAAAUACUUUGUAUGUAAACUUCUGUAAGAUGGGAAAAAUAUUCUCCUCGGGAGAAUUGAUUGUACCAUCAGAGUAAGCCCCGGCUAACUACGUG
rnacentral:rRNA from 1 species